ACGCUCGACACCUACGGGAGGUAGCAGUGGGGAAUAUUGCACAAUGGGGGAAACCCUGAUGCAGCGACGCCGCGUGGAGGAAGAAGGUCUUCGGAUUGUAAACUCCUGUUGUUGGGGAAAAANAGGAUGGUACCCAACAAGGAAGUGACGGCUAACUACGUGCCAGCAGCAGCGGUAAUCUGAGCGGGCUGGCAAGGC
rnacentral:rRNA from 1 species